rnacentral:rRNA from 1 species
AAGCGAGCCCCAAGAUGAGUCAUCCCUAGGGCCUAGAGCCCUCUGAAGAGCCGUUCGAGACCAGGACGUUGAUAGGCAGGGUGUGUAAGCGUUGCGAGGCGUUGAGCUAACCUGUACUAAUGACUCGAGAGGCUUAACCAUACAACCCAGAUGGGUUUU